GUCUAUGGCCAUACCACCCUGAACGCGCCUGAUCUCGUCUGAUUUCAGAAGCUUAUCAGGGUCGGCCUGGUUAGUACUUGGAUGGGAGAUCUACACCACAUAAUGUAAGAGAGUCUUGUUCU
ensembl:rRNA 5S_rRNA 5S ribosomal RNA